CCUGCAUUGCUGUAAAGCCACCACCAAAGAAGACCCGCACCAGAUGUAUUCCCUGGACUUUGGACUUCCCAGCCUGUGAAACUCCCUGCUGUACAGAUGCAGAAACGGAGGCAUGGAGAGGUGAAGAGACCUGCCCAACGUCAGACAGCCCACUGGGGCAAAGACGAGUCUUCUGACAUCUACCCAGAGCUCCCUCUCCUGUCAGAACCAGCGCCCCUCUCUGUAACACAUAUUUUCUGAUGGCCACUUUGCCAUCUGGAGAUGAAAUUCACAAACAAUAUGAGACCGAAUCACAAGUUUGAAUCUCUCAUGAGAUUGAAAUUGCCAUGUUUGCAGGGAGGUAGCAGUGGAGCAGGAGCAUUACCUUCCUCGGUCAGCGUGUGGCUUGCUGAGAUGUCCUCAUCAGCAUCGGUGACUACCACUGAGUAGGUGCCCAGAUCCUCAAGGCCGGGAUCUUUCAGGAUGACCUUG